GUCUGGUGCCAGCAGCCGCGGUAAUUCCAGCUCCAAUAGCGUAUAUUAAAGUUGUUGCAGUUAAAAAGCUCGUAGUUGAACCUUGGGCCUGGUUGGCCGGUCCGCCUCACCGCGUGCACUGGUCCGACCGGGUCUUUCCUUCUGGGGAGCCGCAUGCCCUUCACUGGGUGUGUCGGGGAACCAGGACUUUUACUUUGAAAAAAUUAGAGUGUUCAAAGCAGGCCUAUGCUCGAAUACAUUAGCAUGGAAUAAUAGAAUAGGACGUGUGGUUCUAUUUUGUUGGUUUCUAGGACCGCCGUAAUGAUUAAUAGGGAUAGUCGGGGGCAUCAGUAUUCAAUUGUCAGAGGUGAAAUUCUUGGAUUUAUUGAAGACUAACUACUGCGAAAGCAUUUGCCAAGGAUGUUUUCAUUAAUCAGUGAACGAAAGUUAGGGGAUCGAAGACGAUCAGAUACCGUCGUAGUCUUAACCAUAAACUAUGCCGACUAGGGAUCGGGCGAUGUUAUCUUUUUGACUCGCUCGGCACCUCACGAGAAAUCAAAGUCUUUGGGUUCUGGGGG
rnacentral:rRNA from 1 species